AGUGAACGCUGGCGGUAGGCCUAACACAUGCAAGUCGAACGGCAGCACAGUAAGAGCUUGCUCUUACGGGUGGCGAGUGGCGGACGUGUGAGGAAUACAUCGGAAUCUACUUUUUCGUGGGGGAUAACGUAGGGAAACUUACGCUAAUACCGCAUACGACCUACGGGUGAAAGCAGGGGAUCUUCGGACCUUGCGCGAUUGAAUGAGCCGAUGUCGGAUUAGCUAGUUGGCGGGGUAAAGGCCCACCAAGGCGACGAUCCGUAGCUGGUCUGAGAGGAUGAUCAGCAACACUGGAACUGAGACACGGUCCAGACUCCUACGGGAGGCAGCAGUGGGGAAUAUUGGACAAUGGGCGCAAGCCUGAUCCAGCCAUACCGCGUGGGUGAAGAAGGCCUUCGGGUUGUAAAGCCCUUUUGUUGGGAAAGAAAAGCAGCAGGUUAAUACCCCGCUGUUCUGACGGUACCCAAAGAAUAAGCACCGGCUAACUUCGUG
rnacentral:rRNA from 1 species